rnacentral:rRNA from 1 species
UACGGGGGGAGCAAGCGUUGUUCGGAUUUACUGGGCGUAAAGGGCGCGUAGGCGGUCAGCACAAGUCAGUUGUGAAAUCUCCGGGCUUAACCCGGAAAGGUCAACUGAUACUGUGCGACUAGAGUGCGGAAGGGGCAACUGGAAUUCUCGGUGUAGCGGUGAAAUGCGUAGAUAUCGAGAGGAACACCUGCGGCGAAGGCGGGUUGCUGGGCCGACACUGACGCUGAUGCGCGAAAGCCAGGGGAGCAAACAGG